UAGAACUGCUCUGCGCAAGACCGAACGUACCAGCGACCAGCGGAGGGCCUCGACCGGAGGAAGCAUGUGCAAGGGAGAGAGAACCCGACGGCGAGCGUCCUCCCUCCGGCAUAGGGCGCAGCGCCCAUCCGGGCUGCCUCCUGUGGGAGUCUUUAUUUUCUCCUAUCCCCGAACAAAGCCCCCCCUCCCGAACGUGAGCCUAGAUCCAGAGAUCCCCACGAUGGCCGAGGAUCUGGCGGCGACCCACACAGCAGAGGAGGUGGGGAUCCAGCGGAUGCGGAGGAGGAGAGGUGGUCGCCGUAGCGGCGUCAGCGUAUCUGCAGCCUCCCGCAUCCUUCCCAAGACGCGUGCAGCAGCGACGCAGCACCGGGAUGUUAUCCGCGCUCGCCCACGCUGGCCGGAGCUGGGAGGGGAUGCAAAGGCUGAACCGCUCCGGCGCCGCCGCGGUUCGCCACCCUCCUUCGUCCUUCCUUCCCCAAAAAACAUACGAAGUGGGCUGAUUUUGUCCAAGUCCUGCUCAAAUAAGCCACCAGCAUCCAGAUCAGAGGAGGAGCAGGGGAGAGGAAGAAGAGAUGUGAGGGGUUGAGGCCACUACUGCGCGCAGGCGAGCCAAUCGACAAGGUCCGUCGUUGCUGCGGCAUGCGCAGAGCAAGUCGUUGGGUGCGCAGAGCAAGCCGACCGGCGGACUCCACUAUGGCGAGUUUGCCAGCGACCUGACCCUCCUCCGCCCCGUCCUCCCCACGAUGCCUCCGUCCCUGGUGGCUGCAGCCUUCUGAAGCUGCCGCCCGACCUGGCCCUCCACCUCCUCCUUCCGGCCGCCGCCAUUAGGUAGGUGUAAUCUACUAAUCUUCCGUCAGAUUUGGUCCUGAUUUUGGCGUGUGUGUUUGGCCGCAGCUUCUUGAUGAAGCUGAUUGAGCUGAAGAAUGGCACCACCGUCCAUACUCCAUAGCACCAUCGCUGGGCGGGAAGCAGCAUAUGUGUUGCUAAGAGGAGCUAGCGGGCAUGGAGGAGACAAUGCUCUUCGUGGCGACCACCUUUACGCUAAUUUUGCAGGAAUGCAGGGUGGGGCAUUGACCAACAUCGGUCUCGGCGUUGAGCAGUCGCUGCCCUCGUACUGAAAUAUGAAAUAGGUAUAUAAUCUCAUUCUGGGGUGCUUAUAGCAGUGUAAUUGAUGUAGCAUUACCAAAGCAUCUCCAUGGAUGGGUUCAUGUUCGUAUUAUAGAUUAAUGCCAUGCCACUUGGUCAUAUGCAUUCACUGAAAAACCAAACUUCAUCCUUUUCUCCUGCGUCUCCACCUCAAGAAGUCAUCCCCUGAUUUUCUUGAUUUCAUCGGUGAGGAUACCGCCCAGGAGAGGUAAAGAAAAUUAGGGAUCAUCUGUACCAGAGAAGGGUUUUUAUUUACUCUUUGCAUAUAAAGUGGUAUGAUACAAUAAGCAAAGAUUUUCGUGAAAAAAUAAAACAGCAUGUCGUUCAAUACCAAUAUUUUGUAAGAUCAUGGGGUUAUGUCAGUCUUCCUAUUAUGCCCAUGACUUUGUUCAUUUUGCAGAUAGAUUUUGCCCCGACUUAUUUGACUGUAACUGGAGGAGAUAAAAAUAAGGAAUAAACAAUAAUUGCGCAUAGAUACAACACCAUCUUUUGGUUUUCAGUGACCAAGAAGGGAUAACCAUGGCGAUCCAAAGUAAUCGGUGAGGCGGAUGUUAGCAGUGCAAAGAGUAUCUAAGUGGAGUACAACCUCGCUGUCCGUCUCACACUUUUUCUGUUCCACCCGGCCGGUGAUAGUUAUUGCUGGUGCAAUCGUGUUUUGGCAAUAAGGUAUAUAUACAUAUUUUUCUUUCCCGGUGCAACGCACGGGCAUUUUUUGCUAGUCUAUACCUAAUAAUAAAGGAGUUUCUGCCAAAA